CGUUACUCUAACCUUUUGGGAGGAGGAUGCCUAAUGUAGAAUUAGUGACUGGGAUGAAGUCGUUACGUGGUAACCGUACUGGAAGGGGCGGGUGGUUCACCUUCUUUUAAAAUUAAUAAAAAAAAUUUUAAAAUUUAUGGUCGAUUAAAAAUCAAAAUGAAAGGGCUAUUACCUCAGUUUGUUAGAGCGCACCCCUGAUAAGGGUGAGGUCUCUGGUUCAAAUCCAUAAUGGCCCAACGGGGGAAUAGCUCAUUUGGUAG
rnacentral:misc_RNA from 1 species